GUUCAAGCGGUGGCUGGGCCGCUGCUGCUCCAGCUCCAGCUCCACAAAUCAUCAAGGUCAUCUCUCAAGAAGCUCCAGCGCCAGAAGCUUCAGCCGGAUGGUCAGCUCCAGAAGCUUCAGCCGGAUGGUCAUCAGCUCCAAGCUGGUAAACAGCCCGAGAUCAAACAUUCAGUAUUUAACCUAUUUUGUAUGGGAAACAAUUGUAAUAUUAUAAAAUAUUGUUAUUUGUUGUGUUCAUUAGUAUAACAAAUUGAAAGGAAAAAAUAAUAAAUUCCACUAAAGUACAAAUGAA